GAUGAACGCUGGCGGCAUGCCUAAUACAUGCAAGUCGGGCGGACGGACGUGAAUCUUGUGUCGGUGAUGUUAGCGACGGACAGGUGAGUACCACGUGGAUAACCUCCACAUAAGACUAGGAUAACUACUGGAAACCAUAGCUAAUACCGGAUAAUAGUAUCAACCGCAUGGGGCAAAAGUGAAAGACGGGCUAGCUGUUAAUUAUAGAUGUAUCCGCGGUGCAUUAGCUAGUUGGUAAGGUAACGGCUUACCAAGGCAACGAUGAAUAGCCGACCUGAGAGGCGGAGCGGCGCCACUGGGACUGAGUGACGGGCCAGACUCCUACGGGGGCAAGCAGUAGGGAACCUUGCGAAAUGGGCGAAAGCAUGACGGAGCAACGCCGCGUGGGCGAUGAAGGCCUUCGGGUCGGAAAACUCUGUGAUUAGGGAAGAACAUAUGUGUAAGUAGCUGUACACAUCUUGACGGUACCUAAUCAAAAAGCCACGGCUAACUACGUG
rnacentral:rRNA from 1 species